GUGUGUGUGUGUGUGUGUGUGUGUGUGUGUGUGUGUCAGUAUGUCUGUGUGUAUGCCAGUAUGUCAGUGUGUGUGUAUGUAGGUAUGUCUCUGUGUGUGUGUGUACGUGUGUGUCAGUAUGUCUGCCAGGAUAUAUUUGUGUGUCAGUGUAUGUGUGUGUCAGUGUGUAUCUGUGAAUGUUUUAAUGUCUGUCUGUGUGUAUGUGCCAGUACGUCUGUCUGUGUGUAUGUCAGUAUGUCUGUGUGUGUGUGUGUCAGCAUGUCUUUGUGUGUCAGUAUGUCUGUGUGUGUAUGUAAGUAUGCCUGUGUGUGUAUGUGUGUGUCAGUCAGUAUGUCUGUCAGUGUAUGUGUCUGUGUGUAUGUAUGUAUGUCUGUGUGUGUGUGUGUGUGUCAGUAUGUCUGCCAGGAUAUAUUUGUAUGUCAGCGUAUGUGUGUGUCAGUAUAUAUCUGUGAAUGUUUAAUGUCUGUCUGUAUCAGCCAUUACGUCUGUCUGUGUAUAUGUCAGUAUGCCUGUGUGUGUGUGUGUGUGUAUAUAUAUGUCAGUAUGCCUGUGUGUGUGUUUCAAUGUGUCUGUCAGUGUAUGUGUCUGUGUGUUUUAGUAUAUCUGUCAGUGUAUGUGUUUGUGUGUGUGUCAGUAUAUCUGUUAAUGUAUGUGUCUGUGUAUGUAUGUAUGUGUGUGUGUCAGUAUGUCUGCC
rnacentral:lncRNA from 1 species